rnacentral:rRNA from 1 species
GAUGAACGCUAGCGGCAGGCCUAAUACAUGCAAGUCGGACGGGAUUUGGGAGCUUGCUCCUAAUGAGAGUGGCGCACGGGUGCGUAACACGUAUGUAACCUACCUUAAUCAGGGGGAUUGCCUCUCGAAAGAGAGAUUAACACCGCAUAAUAUAUUUUUAUGGCAUCGUAGAAAUAUCAAAUAUUUAUAGGAUUAAGAUGGGCAUGCGGAACAUUAGCUAGUUGGUAAGGUAACGGCUUACCAAGGCUACGAUGUUUAGGGGAUCUGAGGGGAUGACCCCCCGCACUGGUACUGAGGCACGGACCAGACUCCGACGGGAGGGAGCAGUAAGGAAUAUUGGUCAAUGGGCGCAAGCCUGAACCAGCCAUGCGGCGUGCAGGAAGACGGCCCUAUGGGUUGUAAACUGCUUUUGUACCGGAAUAAACCUUUCUACGUGUAGGAAGCUGAAUGUACGGUAAGAAUAAGGAUCGGCUAACUCCGUGCCAGCCGCCGCCGUAA